UGCAGUCGAACGGCAGCGGGGGAGCUUGCUCCCGCCGGCGAGUGGCGAACGGGUGAGUAAUACAUCGGAACGUACCCAGUAGCGGGGGAUAGCCCGGCGAAAGCCGGAUUAAUACCGCAUACGCCCUACGGGGGAAAGGGGGGGAUCGUAAGACCUCUCACUAUUGGAGCGGCCGAUGGCUGAUUAGCUAGUUGGUGGGGUAAAGGCCUACCAAGGCGACGAUCAGUAGCUGGUCUGAGAGGACGACCAGCCACACUGGGACUGAGACACGGCCCAGACUCCUACGGGAGGCAGCAGUGGGGAAUUUUGGACAAUGGGCGAAAGCCUGAUCCAGCAAUGCCGCGUGUGCGAAGAAGGCCUUCGGGUUGUAAAGCACUUUUGUCAGGGAAGAAAUCGUUUGGGUUAAUACCCCGAGCAGUUGACGGUACCUGAAGAAUAAGCACCGGCUAACUACGUGCCAGCAGCCGCGGUAAUACGUAGGGUGCAAGCGUUAAUCGGAAUUACUGGGCGUAAAGCGUGCGCAGGUGGUUUGUUAAGACAGUUGUGAAAUCCCCGGGCUUAACCUGGGAACUGCAAUUGUGACUGGCAGACUAGAGUGAGGCAGAGGGGGGCGGAAUUCCUGGUGUAGCAGUGA
rnacentral:rRNA from 1 species